rnacentral:lncRNA from 1 species
ACUACAUGCAUGUGCACUGCCUGCAUGUGAGGCAUAGGCAUAUAAUACACCUAUGUGUUUAUUUUCUUUUAAAAAAAAAAAAAAACCUAGUAGGGCAAAGUUGCUACUGUGCCUGUAACUUCUCCCCAAACAGUAACAAAGCUGGUAACUUUGCAGUUCAGCAAAAUAUGAAUUGCUGGGACAACCACGCCUUUCCCCCACAUUCUCCUGAAUGCUUAUGCACACAUAGUCAACUCCUAGUCUUUCCUCAACACUGGAUACUACAUGAGUUAAUAAAAGUAAGAUGAUUCAUCUUCCUCAAACUAGGCCUUCCAUCCUCACUGAGUUCUGAGCACAAGAAUGUAAUUUUCAACAUGCAUUAUAUUAAAUGGAGAAUAAUUUAUGUGACGAUGGAAUCAAUCACCUACUUACAGGAAAGGAAUAACAUAGAAGAAUAUACAAUUAGGUAAGGAUAAAUGCAUUAAGUAUAACUAAUUUGGUACCAUACAAGUAUUUUCUUUGGAAUUUUGUAUGUUUUCUUAAGUGAAAAUCAAGAGUUUCAUUUUUACACAAUACUGUUAUUCAUAACUAUAACAUCAUUUCAUAAUUUUAAAAUAUUUUUCUUUUUGUGCUUUUCAAAUUUAAGUUUGCAGACUACUCAAAGCAGUGGUUUUGAGGGUGUUUUGUUGUUGUUGUUGUUUGUUUUGUUUUGUUUAUAAUAUUGGCAGUAGAUUCCGUUUUAAAAACAGUUUAAAGUAUAUUACAUCGCAUUUGACAGAUUUGCUUACAGGCUCAGUCUGGAUUUGGUCACAAAACAAUCUACAAAUUGCAAAUAUUUUUCCUUUUAAGUGGACAAUUCUAGUCUGUCACCUAAGACAAUCACCUUUUUAUAUGUAGUAUUUGUGGCAAUAUCACUAAUUUCAAAUUUUACUUUUUUCAGAUCCUAGAUUUAACUUUCUAAAUUUUCAUUCUUAUGAAAUGAAAAUUAAUGAACUGAGUUACAUCACUUUCAAAUUGAAGAGAGGAGUUAUGGUUAGUUUUUUUUUUAUAAGUUUGAAGUGAAAGGUAACUAAAUUUUUAUACUUUUGUAUAUAUCACUGUUUUUCCCCCUUGUUUAAAACUGUCAUGAAUGUCCAUUUUUCCCUGGUUCAAAAGUUGAUUUAUAAACAUUAGUUUGAACUAUGAAUUUUUCAUAGCAUGAAAAUUCCAAGCAUGAAACUAGCAUUAGUAACCAUUAUAAAAUGUCAAAUGAUGUUAUCCCUUUCCCUGGUAAACAUUUCCAAACCACAGAGAAAGGCCACUGAUUUUUUUUCCCCUAAAUUAAAAGAUACAGUGGUGUAUUUUAAAGUCUUUAUGGGAAAAAAAACUACUUAUAAGUUCUGUUACCGUUUCCUAAGGAAUGGGUUUGUUUUUUAAGAGUUAUUAUAUCGUUAAAUUACAUUGUGUUGUUCAACACAGUAAUUUAGAACUUGAUUUAUGUGGCCAUUUGUAGUUGCAUAGAAAUACUCUUUUUACCGCAUAGACUAUAAUCGCUAGUUUUCCAAACUUUUUUUUUAUAAGCCUUGCUCUUCAGCUCGAGUCCUGUAUGUUGUAGGAUUCUUAAAAUUGAGGCAGGAAGGUCUUACAGAGUAGGAAAUGCUUAUAGAGAUUACAAGAGAAGGAAUUUCCCCAAAAAAGUUACCCUCAUUUUGUAGCACCAAUAUAAGUAGUAGUUGCAUUUGUCACUGAAUCAGAUGAAGUAGUUAGAAGUCAUAUAUUUUUACUUUGCUGUAAAGAUUAGUAUAACUAAUUUAAGAGAACUUUGUUAUUUUCUGAGCAGUUUCCAUUUUAAGACUUAGUGUCAAUUAGCUUUAUUCAAAGUAUCACUAAAAGUUAAUUAAAUCAAGGGUUUUGGGUGGUUUUUUUUUUAAAAAGUUCUGUUGAUCUUCUUUUACCCUGAAACUAAUGGUGAAUCUGUUGUCUACACUAUGUUAGGCAGAAAUGCACUUGUUGAAAUAGCAGAAACUAUACUUGACUUUCUAAUAGUGUGAAACACUUUUUUUUUAAAUGUGCUUGUCUGUAACUGAAAUGUUAUAGAAUUGUAACCCUGUAGGGAUUAUAGAGUUAUAUUUAUUAGCUCUCAACAGAUUGAAGCACAACAGUUCUCAUGUAACAAUCCUUAUUCAAGUGCUCUCUGUCGUACAAAUAAAGCUGAUUGCCUAUCUAGUUGUUCACACAUCACUAUUAUCCUGUAUGAGACAGUCUUGUUCAUUUGUAUUAAAAUUUGGGUAUUGUGAGUUAAUACUUUCAAAUAAACCUGUCAGUCAGCUCU